GGAUUGGAAAGCUCUGAAACGCAUAGCGCGGUAUUUGAAAGGCACUAUGCAUUACAGACUGAGAUUUAACAAUCAGAAGUCUGGUGGUCUUGAGAUAUUUGCAGAUGCAAGUUUUGGAAGUGACGCUACAGACAGGAAAAGUACGUCUGGAGUUUGCUACAUGUACAAUCAGGGUCUGUUUGAUUGGUCAUGCAAGAAGCAAACAACAGUUAGCUUAAGUACUUGUGAAGCUGAACUGAAUGCACUGUCUUAUUCACUUAAGGAUUGUGAAUGGUUAGUACAAUUGUGCAAAGAUAUGAAAAUUCCUGUCAAAUGUCCAGUCCAGGUUUACCAGGACAACAAAGCAUGUUUGGCUUUGCUGAAGUCUGAAGGUUGUAAGCAAAGCACAAAGCACUUGCAAUUAAAGUUGCAACAUGCUAGGGAAUGUAUUCAGAAGGGACUCGUAACGGUGUCCUAUAUGCCAGGUAAUGAAAUUCCUGCUGAUGUAUUGUCCAAGAUUGUAUCGAGGGAUCAACACUGUACCUAUGUGCAGAAGUUGGGUUUGUACUGAUAUUGUACAAACACGCUGCC